ensembl:lncRNA
UGGAGCGCCGGCACGGCUAUUUAGACGGGGAGGGGGGAAGGAGCUGGAGAACGAAAGGCAGCCAGGCAGGCAGGCAGGCAGGCAGGGACCCAACCCCCCAGGGGCACUUCGCCCUCGCUAUUUUUUUUCUUCCUUCUUUUUUCUUUUCACGCUCUCUCUUUCUCUCUCUCUCACUGACAGCCUCCUCCCCCCCUUACCUUAGCGGCAGGGUUCAAUUAGUGCCGACGGCGGCUAGCACCCACAGCCCCGCUUAGCCCGGGAGCUGGAGCCUCUAUCAGCACACACCAACAGCACGCAAGGCUGAGUCCAACGAGCAAACUAACGUCAAGACAAGUUUUGUGUGGGUCUUGCACAUAUAGGCAUGCACACGUACGCACACACACAAUCGCACAAUCCGAGAGGCUUUUAGUAUCUCAGCCAGGAGCACCACAGAGUCAUCCACAUAAAAUUUUAAAUAAAAACUGAAAACUUUUUACUACAUUUUUUCUUUUAUUCUUGAGACCAUGGCAUGGAGUGUUUUUCAGACACGUCGUUGCUGCCUCGUCGGGCCAGCACAUUUAAUUCAGGACUUUUCACACUCUUCUGCAGCCCCAGACCUUUAUUAGCGACGGGGUAAAAGUCAAUGUGCCUCCCGCAUUUUCAGACCCCACCGAAAAAAAAGAAAAAGAAAAAACCACGAACUCCAACUGCCAAUGCUGAGCAAGGUCGGCCAGGGGUCAGGCACAGCUCACGGAUACGAGACGGAUAUCGAUUCGCCGGGACAGGCCACAAGCGCCACUUUCUCUCCUCCUCUUUUUCCUCUACAGUCACAGGGCAGGCAUCAGCCAAUAGAUCAGCCAAGGGCAGGAAACGGCCGGGGUCAGAGGGGACGCUGAGAGUAUAUGUGUGUGUGUGUGUGUGCGUGCGUGCGUUUGUGUGCAGGCGCACGUGUGUGAUGAUAAGACUAACAGCCACCCGAAAGCUGCACCACAGCUAUGGGACCUUCAGGCUGGGCCCAAUCACCUGCGACCAACAAAGAAAAUCACUCUGACCAAAAACUGAUAGAGUCAUCUUACCUUAUCUUCUAUGACUGCUUCAGCAUCUUGCCUGUUAUUGCUAUGGCUUCUAUCAAUAGGCAGUUAAUAUUACCAAACACUUGUCACCACAGGACAGUGUUUGGGUGUAUUUGGUUUGUCAUUUUUAUCCAGUGGCCUGGAUCAGGGAAUCCACCAACACCAGGAAAGAAGCUGGAGUCGUGCUCUUAAAGCACCAGCAGUGCACUGGUCAUCAUUGAGUACCAUGUAUGAUUGUUAUACUCG